rnacentral:rRNA from 1 species
UGGGGAAUUUUGCACAAUGGGGGAAACCCUGAUGCAGCGACGCCGCGUGAUUUAGAAGGCCUUCGGGUUGUAAAAAUCUUUUGUAUGGGAAGAAAAUGACAGUACCUUACGAAUAAGGACCGGCUAAUUACGUGCCAGCAGCCGCGGUAAUACGUAAGGUCCGAGCGUUGUCCGGAAUCAUUGGGCGUAAAGGGUACGUAGGCGGAUAAGCAAGUUAGAAGUGAAAUCCUAUAGCUCAACUAUAGUAAGCUUUUAAAACUGCUCAUCUUGAGGUAUGGAAGGGAAAGUGGAAUUCCUAGUGUAGCGGUGAAAUGCGCAGAUAUUAGGAGGAAUACCGGUGGCGAAGGCGACUUUCUGGCCAUAUACUGACGCUGAGGUACGAAAGCGUGGGUAGCAAACAGG